GCCUUGUUAUAUACCAAAUACCUCUUUUAGUCAUUUUCAUUUGCAUACUUCCUGGGUAUGUAAAAUUAUUUAGCAUAAUGCUUUUAAAAAUCUCUUUAUAGACGUUCUUUUAUUUUAGUUCAUCAUUUGCUGAAUUCAUUUUGGAAAAACAAUUUUGGUGUUUUGAGUUGAAUAACUGUUGCAUUUCAAGCCAUUUUGCAAGUCAUCACCAUAGAAGAUUCAGUUGUAAUCAGAAUUUCUUGAGGAGGGAAAUGAGAUCACCCCAUCAUCCUCUUCCUUCAUCCUUCUUCUGAUCAGAGAAGAGCUAAGACAUAGAUAAUUGAAAAUAGUAAUUAACCCCAGACCACUUAUAUUUGGCUGUAAAAUUAGUUUCAUGAUUUUGAGAAACAGCUUUACUUUUUAAAUUAGAUUAUAUUCAGAAAAUCAUUAAUAUAGCUUUAUUCCUUUAGCUUAUAACAAAUUUUAUCAAGGGACUUCAGGCAAGAAUUGUGAGAAGAGGCUGGAAUGAUCCACUGAGAAUGCUUUCAAUCAACCCUUUUAUUCUGUAGUCUUGCAAUUAAACACUACAUUCUGUACCCACACUAGCAUCUUUAUGAAGUUGCAGUGUGUUUUCAAUAAGCCUUUCUGCAAUUAAGGCAUAAAACAUAUCCCAGUAUUGUUUCUGCCUUUGGUUUAUAUUUGGAAUAAGAUAUUAAAUGUCCAGAGCAAAACGUAUAGCUAUCUGCAUAAAAUGAAUGUUUAUACUCUGCUUCUCUGAGGUCACUUUCUCUCUCACACCCUAUUCCCAAAAGAUCAUUAUAUUUCAAUAUAUUGAGAUGCCUAGAAUUAUCAGGGAGAAUGUCAGAGUGCUUAAUUCGCAAAGAUUUCUGUUAACUAAUGUAAAUGUGAUUGUUUUAUGUGAAUAAAUACUUUUCUACUCGUUUGUAUUUAUAUCCUCAUGCUUAGGAUGAAAGCAGUGAAAUCUGGUUACAGGAAAUGAUGGUUUUUUUUUGUUUAUUUUAUUUUUUAGCUCAGAAACUCAUCAAUUGAGAUAUAGAGACAAUUUCCAGCUUUGGAAAAUUAAAAGCAAAUGAACAAAGUUGACUUAAUUUUUUUUUCCUCUGUGGUUUUGAAAUAUAUUCCACUCUCCACCUGUGAAUAUGCAGUUUCCAACUAAAUGAACCAAUGGAUUAAUUUCCAAAUUUGAACUUCAGAUUAUUGGGAGUUGGGUGGGGUGACAUAAUCUGGAGUGUGAAAUAUGGAAAUGGGGUAACAGAAAA